rnacentral:rRNA from 1 species
UUUGAUCCUGGCUCAGGAUGAACGCUAGCGGCAGGCCUAAUACAUGCAAGUCGAGGGGUAGAUUUAACUUCGGUUGAAUCGAGACCGGCGGACGGGUGCGUAACGCGUAUGCAACCUGCCUGUAUCAGGGGGAUAGCCCGGAGAAAUUCGGAUUAAUACCCCAUAAUAUCACUAAAUCACAUGGUUUUAUGAUUAAAGAUUUAUCGGAUACAGAUGGGCAUGCGUCCUAUUAGCUAGUAGGCGAGGUAACGGCUCACCUAGGCAAUGAUAGGUAGGGGUUCUGAGAGGAAGGUCCCCCACACUGGCACUGAGAUACGGGCCAGACUCCUACGGGAGGCAGCAGUAGGGAAUAUUGGUCAAUGGACGAGAGUCUGAACCAGCCAUGCCGCGUGCAGGAAGACGGCCUUCUGGGUUGUAAACUGCUUUUGACAGGGA